UGAGCCUCGUAACACACAGCUGAGUAUUGUGAGCCAAGAUGGAAAUAAGAAGGCACCUUCCAGGAAGCACCAUGACUGUUGAAGAGGAAGACCCAAUUGGCCUCCUGCUCUGAUUCCAGAGCUGACCCUGGGCUUCCAAGGACAGGACUAGCAGCUGGGACAGAGAGCCAUUUGAUAUAGAACUGGGAACAGGAAGCCCACUGUCUCAGAGGACUGGAUCAACAAUGGUGUUCCCCAAGCACCUGAAGUCUACAGGAUCUCAGAGCAGUGGGGGAGAGGAAGGAAAGAACGAAUGUCCCUUGGGUUCUAGGCAUCAAGUAUUGUCACAGAUCGGCUUUUCUUUUCAUCCCCUCAGUAACACUAAGAAGAGGGUAAAAUUGUCCCACUUUUGAAGAGAGGAAAUUGAAGCUAAGAGAAGUGACUCACCUAAGGUCA